CUCUGCUGGUGGGGGCGGGGAAGGGACGUCUCUGUUGAGCCGGGAUUUGGGCCCCUGUCCCCGACGGACCCAUCAAGUGCGAGAUGACUGUGCGCAGGAACUUGAAGCUAAGCCGCAGAGAUAGAUAUUAAAUAAAGGACCCCAAAUCAACAGGCUGGAUCCCAUUGUAAUAAUCAACCUUGAUAGUCUGUAAUUGAUGAUUUGACAUCUUGAAGUCACGCCAAAACUGUUGACGUCCCUACCACCCCUGUGGUUUUACAGCACACAGAAAUCAUAUUACUAACCUUCCAACUACUAAAUAAAGAAGUGGUGGGGAGUUGUCUGGUGGGGAUGUCCCCUACUUAGCAGGAAGCAAAUACAGAUGUUGGAGUUUGUGUUGGAAGAGCCUCCUGAUGUUCUGGGUUUGUCCAGUUGGCUGAAGAAAUUGCCCACACCUUUGACCUAGAAAAACAAAGAGUCUAGACCAGCACUGUCCAAUAUGGAUGUCACCAGCCACAUGAGGUGAUUGAGCACUUGGAAUGUGGCUAGUCAUGUACAAUAUUGUAAAAUACACACCGGAUAUUGAAGACAAUAUGAAGAAAAGAAUGUAAAAUAUCUCACUAAUGUUUUUUAAAAUAUAUGUCAAACGAUGAUGAUAGUUUUGAUAUACUGGGUUAAAAGAAGUAUAUUUCACCAUUAAAAAUAAAUUAUAAAUUUUUAC